rnacentral:rRNA from 1 species
UACGUAGGGUGCAAGCGUUUGUCCGGAAUUAUUGGGCGUAAAGAGCUCGUAGGCGGUCUGUCGCGUCGGAUGUGAAAACUCGGGGCUCAACCCCGAGCCUGCAUUCGAUACGGGCAGACUAGAGUUCGGUAGGGGAGACUGGAAUUCCUGGUGUAGCGGUGAAAUGCGCAGAUAUCAGGAGGAACACCGGUGGCGAAGGCGGGUCUCUGGGCCGAUACUGACGCUGAGGAGCGAAAGCGUGGGGAGCGAACAGG